rnacentral:rRNA from 1 species
GAUGAACGCUAGCGGCAGGCUUAACACAUGCAAGUCGAGGGGCAGCGCGGAGUAGCAAUACUCUGGCGGCGACCGGCGGAAGGGUGCGUAACGCGUGAGCAACUUGCCCGUGACAGGGGGAUAACCGGUGGAAACGCCGACUAACACCCCGUAACAACAGAGGCCGCAUGACCUUUGUUUGAAAACUGAGGUGGUCACGGAUGGGCUCGCGAGGCAUUAGCCAGUUGGCGGGGUAACGGCCCACCAAAGCGACGAUGCCUAGGGGUUCUGAGAGGAAGACCCCCCACACUGGAACUGAGACACGGUCCAGACUCCUACGGGAGGCAGCAGUGAGGAAUAUUGGACAAUGGAGGAAACUCUGAUCCAGCCAUGCCGCGUGAAGGAAGAAGGCCCUAUGGGUCGUAAACAUCUUUUGUCGCAGAGCAAUAAGGUCCACGCGUGGAUCGAUGAGAGUAUGCGACGAAUAAGCAUCGGCUAACUCCGUG